rnacentral:tRNA from 1 species
UAGCUCAGUUGGUAGAGUGCUUGCCUCACAUGCACAAGGUUCUGGGUUCAAUCCCCAG